rnacentral:tRNA from 1 species
GCGCCAGUAGCUCAGCUGGAUAGAGUACCUGGCUACGAACCAGGCGGUCGGGGGUUCGACUCCCUCCUGGCGCGCCA